rnacentral:misc_RNA from 1 species
CCCCUGUGUACUUAUACCUUUACUGUUGCUUCGGCGGGUUAACGCCCCGCGAAGGCCCGCGAGGGCCGCCGGAACCAGGCGCCCGCCGGGGGACCCAAACUCUUGUAUCUUUUUUAUAGCAUGUCUGAGUGGAAUCAUAAACAAAUGAAUC